ensembl:lncRNA
GUCUAGCUCAGUAGUCUGCAUAUUAGUUGCAGUAGUUGGCGCACCUCUCCUAUCUCUGAUUGUUCUAGGGGUCUUCUGCCAGAGGUUACCUCAGCAUAUGUAGGCUGACGAUCUGACUGAUACAUGGUGUGGACUGCAUCAUGUGGUCUACUUCCCUGAAGGGCAGUGUUCUGACCGACCCUGGAGUAGUGGUCAGAGCUGUUUUGUGAUGGGUCUGGUCUGGUAGAGCUGUGUUGUGAUGGGCCAGGUCUAGUAGAGCUGUGUUGUGAUGGGACGGGUCUAGUUGUGCUGUCCUGAGGCGGGUCUGGUCUGGUAAAUAUGUGCUGUGUUGGGCCUGGUCUAGUAGAGCUGUGCUGUAAUAAGCCAUGUCUGGCUCUUUUCUCUUCGGGAUGGUGGAGGUACUGUUGUUUCAGAAGGUGGGGUGGGGGACCUCUGUAGCUGGGGUGAUGGGUGUGUGGGUCCCUGCCAAGUGUUGCAUCUUUUAGGUCCUUGGCAAAGGUUCUGAUACUGUCCUGAUCAAGAUGUAUAUUAUCAUAUAAGUGUUGACAUGUCAGAGUGGGGUGGUGAGCCGUUCUGACGUUGAGCAGUGAGGCACAGUCCACAGUGAUCUGUUGAUUUAUUUUGUCGAUCAACUUUCCUGGGAAGUCUUUUCUUGGUAGGAGGGUGGACACAACUAUAUUGGUUGUUGGGAACACAGCCUGUGCCCGUUCUGCCAC